rnacentral:rRNA from 1 species
UGCGAGUCGAGCGGAUGAAGGGAGCUUGCUCUCUGAUUCAGCGGCGGACGGGUGAGUAAUGCCUAGGAAUCUGCCUGGUAGUGGGGGACAACGUUUCGAAAGGAACGCUAAUACCGCAUACGUCCUACGGGAGAAAGCAGGGGACCUUCGGGCCUUGCGCUAUCAGAUGAGCCUAGGUCGGAUUAGCUAGUUGGUGAGGUAAUGGCUCUCCAAGGCGACGAUCCGUAACUGGUCUGAGAGGAUGAUCAGUCACACUGGAACUGAGACACGGUCCAGACUCCUACGGGAGGCAGCAGUGGGGAAUAUUGGACAAUGGGCGAAAGCCUGAUCCAGCCAUGCCGCGUGUGUGAAGAAGGUCUUCGGAUUGUAAAGCACUUUAAGUUGGGAGGAAGGGCAGUAAGUUAAUACCUUGCUGUUUUGACGUUACCAACAGAAUAAGCACCGGCUAACUUCGUGCCAGCAGCCGCGGUAAUACGAAGGGUGCAAGCGUUAAUCGGAAUUACUGGGCGUAAAGCGCGCGUAGGUGGUUCGUUAAGUUGGAUGUGAAAGCCCCGGGCUCAACCUGGGAACUGCAUCCAAAACUGGCGAGCUAGAGUAUGGCAGAGGGUGGUGGAAUUUCCUGUGUAGCGGUGAAAUGCGUAGAUAUAGGAAGGAACACCAGUGGCGAAGGCGACCACCUGGGCUAAUACUGACACUGAGGUGCGAAAGCGUGGGGAGCAAACGGGAUUAGAUACCCUGGUAGUCCACGCCGUAAACGAUGUCGACUAGCCGUUGGGAUCCUUGAGAUCUUAGUGGCGCAGCUAACGCAUUAAGUCGACCGCCUGGGGAGUACGGCCGCAAGGUUAAAACUCAAAUGAAUUGACGGGGGCCCGCACAAGCGGUGGAGCAUGUGGUUUAAUUCGAAGCAACGCGAAGAACCUUACCAGGCCUUGACAUG